GCUUCUUCCACCGACAACGAUUCAACGCUUCCCUCCUCCCUCUCGCACUCGACUCGACGGCGAUCGACGCGGAAUCGCAGCAGGAAUCGGAGCUAAUGGGCUUGGUUUUCUAGAUCCAUGCUCGUAUUGUCGCGUUAGUCGCUUGAUGAUUAGGGUUUGAUUAACCAUUUGUUCCCCCGCAGAUUCUUUCGUUUUCGCACUCGUUUGUUGGGCAAAAUUUAGGGUUUUUCAUUUUAAUCUUAUUUUUAGGAAUGACAAGAGUUAAGUCUGUUACUUCUUUUGGUUUGAAAUUUUACUAGAAGCAUUUGUGGAAAUCUAGCAAUAGAUUGUUUGAUAGGGGAUUCGAAGGUUUUAAAUUCUUGAGUCUCAUGAUUUCUUCGCCGGAUACAGUCUUCUUGAAGGAUCCAGUAUUGGAGAAGAGAUGGACGCUUAAUGAUUUCGAUAUCAGGAAGCCCCUUGGAAGAGGCAACUUUGGCCAUGUCUAUGAGUUGGGGAGUUUUCUGAAACUAAUAAUAUUGCCAAAUUCAAGCUUGAAAUUUUCAGUGGGAUGGCCUCUUUAAUUUUGUUCCCAUUAAAUGACUGCUCAAAUGCGUAGUAAGCCAGAGUUUAUUUUGCUAGUACGUUCAUUCCUGUUAUAAUUGAUUUUUUAAGUGUCAUUUUGGUGAAGCUGAGUUACCAUAUUGUGGCACUGAAAGUGCUAUUCAAGUGCCAGCUCAAGCAAUCUCUAGUUGAGCAUCAACUGCGACGUGAAGUUGAGAUACUGAGUCAUCUUCGGAUAUUACGCCUAUAUGGUUACUUCGAUGAUCAGUACACUGCAUCUUUAGCACGAGCUCUGAUAUAUCGCCACGGGAAGCAUGUGAUGCAUAGAGAUAUUAAGACAUAGAACUUACUGAUUGGACUCCAGGGUAGGUUGAAAAUUGCAGAUUUUGGAUGGUCAGUCCACACAUUUAACCGUAGACAAACCAGACCAUGUGUGGAAACACUAGAUUAACUUCCCCUUGAAAUGGGCAUGCUAAUCUUUACCAUCAGUGAAUCCUAUAAAGAUAGGACAAGCAUGACUCGAGUGUGGAUAUUUAGGGCUCGGGUGUAUUGUGCUACGAGUUCCUUUAUGGGGUGCCUCCAUUUGAAUUCGAAGGAACAUUCUGAUACAUACAGAAGGUCUGCAAAACCACUCUGUUACGGAUUGUGAAAGUUGAUCUUAUCAACCAGGUGACCGAUCAGAUAGAUAGAUCCUUUUGAGUUUGUGCCAGUGCCCUUGAUAAGAACAAUUGUCUCAGUUAGAACCCCAAACGGUUUGAAGUACGGCUGUUUUGAUGUCUUGUCAAACUAGUCUAAGUUAAGUCUUACUUGUGGCACUAACUCGUGUGUGUAAGAGAAAUGGCUCGCUAUCCAAUGGAAUAUGGUGAGGAAUAAGAAAGGAGAAGGAGCAUCGGAGAUGACAAACUUUGAUAGAAGAUGCAGCAAAUGAGAAUGAUGAUAUGGGAAAUGAGUCGACGAGUUCAAUGUAUCCAAGGGACGAGGAGCUACAAACAGGGAUGGAUCUAGAAAUCAAAGAUGGAUUGGGCUGAUGUCAAAUUGAAUGAGUCCGUCAAAGACACCAUAGAAGAGGUCUGAGUUCAUUGUGUGCGAUCAAGUUAUCAUAUCAUCUUUUCCUA